rnacentral:rRNA from 1 species
UACGAAGGGGGCUAGCGUUGCUCGGAAUCACUGGGCGUAAAGCGCACGUAGGCGGAUUGCUAAGUCAGGGGUGAAAUCCUGGAGCUCAACUCCAGAACUGCCUUUGAUACUGGCGACCUUGAGUCCGGGAGAGGUGAGUGGAACUGCGAGUGUAGAGGUGAAAUUCGUAGAUAUUCGCAAGAACACCAGUGGCGAAGGCGACUCACUGGCCCGAUACUGACGCUGAGGCGCGAAAGCGUGGGGAGCAAACAGG